AUGCCUACCACUGCAGUCGAACGAUGGACCCGGCCAGAGAGACGCACGGGUGCGUAAUCCGUGGGAAUCAAAAAUGGGGUUCGGAAUAACUCUCCGAAAGGAGUGCUAAUACCGGUUGCUGUCGAAAGACCAAAGAUUUAUCGCCCUAGGACGAGCCCGCGUAGGAUUAGCUAGUUGGUGAGGUAAAGGCUCACCAAGGCGACGAUCCUUAGCUGGUCUGAGAGGAUGAUCAGCCACACUGGGACUGAGACACGGCCCAGACUCCUACGGGAGGCAGCAGUGGG
rnacentral:rRNA from 1 species